rnacentral:rRNA from 1 species
ACGGUUACCUUGUUACGACUUCACCCCAAUUAUCGAACCCACCUUCGGCCGCGCCCCCAUUGCUGUUAGGCUACGGACUUCGGGUGUUCCCGACUCUCAUGGUGUGACGGGCGGUGUGUACAAGGCCCGGGAACGUAUUCACCGCGGCAUGCUGAUCCGCGAUUACUAGCGAUUCCAACUUCACGCAGGCGGGUUGCAGCCUGCGAUCCGAACUGGGAUGGCUUUUAGGGAUUUGCUCCACCUCGCGGUAUUGCUUCCCUCUGUUAACCACCAUUGUAGUACGUGUGUGGCCCAGGACAUAAGGGGCAUGAUGAUUUGACGUCGUCCCCACCUUCCUCCGUUUUGUCAACGGCAGUCUCGCUAGAGUGCUCUUGCGUAGCAACUAACAAUAAGGGUUGCGCUCGUUGCGGGACUUAACCCAACAUCUCACGACACGAGCUGACGACAACCAUGCACCACCUGUCACCGGCGCUUCCGAAGAAGAAGGUGUAUCUCUACACCGGUCACCGGGAUGUCAAGCCCUGGUAAGGUUCUUCGCGUUGCUUCGAAUUAAACCACAUACUCCACCGCUUGUGCGGGCCCCCGUCAAUUCCUUUGAGUUUCAACCUUG